UACGAAGGUUGCGAGCGUUGUUCGGAAUCACUGGGCUUAAAGCGUAUGUAGGCGGCCCGACAAGUGCUUUGUGAAAUCCCACGGCUCAACCGUGGAAUUGCUUGGUAUACUGUCGGGCUUGAGGCAGGUAGGGGCGCAUGGAACUCUUGGUGGAGCGGUGGAAUGCGUAGAUAUCAAGAGGAACGCCGGUGGCGAAAGCGGCUCUCUGGCCCGUUACUGACGCUGAGGCGCGAAAGCUAGGGGAGCAAACGGG
rnacentral:rRNA from 1 species